rnacentral:sRNA from 1 species
AAUUUGCGUUAGGGAUGGAAGCGGUAUCCUUUUUAAUUUGAUUGCCAUAAAGCAAGGCAAAUUUAAAAGAUAUAGCGUACAGCCCGACCCUUG